rnacentral:rRNA from 1 species
AUACGUAGGGGGCGAGCGUUAUCCGGAAUUAUUGGGCGUAAAGGGUGCGUAGGCGGCCUUUUAAGUCAGAUGUGAAAGGCUACGGCUUAACCGUAGUUAGCAUUUGAAACUAAAAGGCUUGAGUGCAGGAGAGGAGAGUGGAAUUCCUAGUGUAGCGGUGAAAUGCGUAGAUAUUAGGAGGAACACCAGUGGCGAAGGCGACUCUCUGGACUGCAACUGACGCUGAGGCACGAAAGCGUGGGGAGCGAACAGGAUUAGAUACCCUGGUAGUCCACGCCGUAAACGAUGAGUGCUAGGUGUUGGUGGGGACACCCAUCAGUGCCGCAGCUAACGCAUUAAGCACCCCGCCUGGGGAGUACGUGCGCAAGCAUGAA